AACACCAAUGAAAUUUGAAUUUCAGGUAAAUAAGGAAUACUUUUUUUAGCAUAAGUAUGCCCUCAUGCAAAAUUUGGGACACACUUAUACUAAAAAUAUUCAUUGCUUAUCUGAAAUUCACAUUAAUAGGGCAUCCUGU
rnacentral:miRNA from 1 species